AUUUAAAUAGUUUAAGUAAAAUAUUGAUUUGUGGAGUCAAAGUUAUAAUAGAAAAUUUUAAAUA
rnacentral:tRNA from 1 species